rfam:Gossypium hirsutum cultivar TM-1 chromosome 8, whole genome shotgun sequence
GUCUCAUGAUGAGAACACACUUACGAAGCAAUUCCUUGAAUCUUUCCCAUGCCUCAUAUUAGGACACGUCAUCCAAUUGUUGAAAAGUAGUUAUCUCAUUUCGCAACUU